UACGUAGGGUGCGGGCGUUGUCCGGAAUUAUUGGGCGUAAAGGGCUCGUAGGCGGUUUGUCGCGUCGGGAGUGAAAACCCAGGGCUUAACUCUGGGCUUGCUUUCGAUACGGGCAGACUAGAGGUAUGCAGGGGAGAACGGAAUUCCUGGUGUAGCGGUGAAAUGCGCAGAUAUCAGGAGGAACACCGGUGGCGAAGGCGGUUCUCUGGGCAUUACCUGACGCUGAGGAGCGAAAGUGCGGGGAGCGAACAGG
rnacentral:rRNA from 1 species